rnacentral:rRNA from 1 species
GAUGAACGCUGGCGGCGUGCUUAACACAUGCAAGUCGAACGGAAAGGCCCAAGCUUGCUUGGGUACUCGAGUGGCGAACGGGUGAGUAACACGUGGGUGAUCUGCCCCGCACUUCGGGAUAAGCCUGGAAAACUGGGUCUAAUACCGGAUAGGACAGGGGUUUGGAUGGGAUUGUGGAAAGGUUUUUCGGUGUGGGAUGAGCUCGCGGCCUAUCAGCUUGUUGGGGGGGUAAUGGCCUACCAAGGCGUCGACGGGUAGCCGGCCUGGGGGGGUGUACGGCCACAUUGGGACUGAGAUACGGCCCAGACUCCUACGGGAGGCAGCAGUGGGGAAUAUUGCACAAUGGGCGCAAGCCUGAUGCAGCGACGCCGCGUGGGGGAUGACGGCCUUCGGGUUGUAAACUCCUUUCGCUAGGGACGAAGCGUUAUGUGACGGUACCUAGAGAAGAAGCACCGGCUAACUACGUG